CAUUACACNAAUAUGAAGCCGGACUGGGAUAGGGCCUCGCUGCCUUGCCCGUCUGGCGCCAUAUUCACCCAUGUCUUUUUGCGUACUACUUGUUUCCUUGGCGGGUCCGCCCGCCAAUUGGACCUUAUUCAAACCUUUUUUUUCAGUUGCAAUCAGCGUCAGCAAAACAAAUGUAAUCAAUUACAACUUUCAACAACGGAUCUCUUGGUUCUGGCAUCGAUGAAGAACGCAGCGAAAUGCGAUAAGUAGUGUGAAUUGCAGAAUUCAGUGAAUCAUCGAAUCUUUGAACGCACAUUGCGCCCUUUGGUAUUCCAAAGGGCAUGCCUGUUCGAGCGUCAUUUGUACCCUCAAGCUUUGCUUGGUGUUGGGCGUUUUGUCUCUCUCCCGAGACUCGCCUUAAAAUCAUUGGCAGCCGGCCUACUGGUUUCGGAGCGCAGCACAUUAUUUGCGCUCUUGUCCAGCCGCGGUCGCGCGUCCAUGAAGCUUCUUUCAACCUUUUGACCUCGGAUCAGGUAGGGAUAC
rnacentral:rRNA from 1 species